GAUAAAAGCAUGCAAUUUCUACAACAAUCGUUUACUAAAGACCCACUUUUGCUUUUGGAGAGACCUGGCAAAAACGCAAAUAAAUGAUGAUGUUAUUGCAGAGGCAAAAAUGGAAAGAGCAAUGGCACAUCACCACUUAAAACUUCAAAAAUUAGUAUUUUAUCCCUGGCAAUCUUAUGUCAAAAGGCAAAAAGAAAGACUUCUAGAGGUCCUAUCACAGUUGAAUCGGAUGUUCAGUAUAUUCAGGCAAAAAAUUUUCAUAGCCCACUGGUGGGAAGAAACAAAGCGGAGGAUUCAAGUUCAAGAAGCUGAGAUGGGAU